rnacentral:rRNA from 1 species
AUACGGAGGGUGCAAGCGUUACUCGGAAUCACUGGGCGUAAAGCGCGCGCAGGCGGGCUGAUAAGUUGGAUGUGAAAGCCUACGGCUCAACCGUAGAACUGCAUCCAAAACUGUCAGUCUAGAGUGUGGGAGAGGAAGAUGGAAUUAGUUGUGUAGGGGUAAAAUCCGUAGAGAUAACUAGGAAUACCAAAAGCGAAGGCAAUCUUCUGGAACACUACUGACGCUGAGGCGCGAAAGCGUGGGGAGCAAACGGGAUUAGAAACCCCAGUAGUCC